rnacentral:rRNA from 1 species
GAUGAACGCUGGCGGCGUGCCUAAUACAUGCAAGUCGAGCGAACAGACGAGGAGCUUGCUCCUCUCACGUUAGCCGCACACGGGUGAGUAACACGUGUAUAAUCUACCUAUCUUUCUGGUAUAACUUCGGGAAACCGGAUCAAAUCCCGGAUGAUAUAUUGAACCGCAUGGUGCAAUAGUGAAAGUCGGUUUUGCUGUCACUUAUAGAUGGUUCCGGGCUGCAUUAGCUAGUUGGGAAGUUAAUAGCUUACCACGGCAACCAGGCGUAGCCGACGGGAGAGACUGGUCGCCGGCCCGAGAACUGGGACACGGUCAAGACUCCUGCGGGACGGAGCAGUAGGGAAUCGUCCGCAAUAGGCGAGAGCCUGACGGAGCAAGGCGAAGUGAGAGAUGAAGGUCUUGGGAUCGUGAAGCUCUCUUAUUAGGGAUGAACAGAUGUGUACGUAACUAUGCACGUCUUGACGGUACCUGGUCAGAAAGCACCGGCUAACUACGUG